UACGUAGGGUGCGAGCGUUAAUCGGAAUUACUGGGCGUAAAGCGUGCGCAGGCGGUUGGUUAAGUCUGAUGUGAAAGCCCCGGGCUCAACCUGGGAAUGGCAUUGGAAACUGGCCAGCUGGAGUGUGGCAGAGGGGGGUGGAAUUCCGCGUGUAGCAGUGAAAUGCGUAGAGAUGCGGAGGAACACCGAUGGCGAAGGCAGCCCCCUGGGCCAACACUGACGCUCAGGCACGAAAGCGUGGGGAGCAAACAGG
rnacentral:rRNA from 1 species